UACGAAGGGGGCUAGCGUUGUUCGGAAUUACUGGGCGUAAAGGGCGCGCAGGCGGCGCAUUUUGUCAGGCGUGAAAGCCCCGGGCUUAACCUGGGAACUGCGUUUGAUACGGAUGGGCUAGAGUUCGGGAGAGGAGAGUGGAAUUCCCAGUGUAGAGGUGAAAUUCGUAGAUAUUGGGAAGAACACCGAUGGCGAAGGCAGCUCGCUGGGACGGUACUGACGCUGAGGCGCGAAAGCGUGGGGAGCAAACAGGG
rnacentral:rRNA from 1 species